rnacentral:rRNA from 1 species
UACGUAGGGGGCAAGUGUUGUCCGGAAUCAUUGGGCGUAAAGAGCGUGUAGGCGGCCCGAUAAGUCCGCUGUGAAAGUCCAGGGCUCAACCCUGGAAUGCCGGUGGAUACUGUCGGGCUCGAAUCCGGAAGAGGUGAGUGGAAUUCCUGGUGUAGCGGUGAAAUGCGCAGAUAUCAGGAAGAACACCCGUGGCGAAGGCGGUUCUCUGGGACGGUACUGACGCUGAGACGCGAAAGCGUGGGGAGCGAACAGG